rnacentral:misc_RNA from 1 species
CUUGGCUUUGUCUCGUGAGAGUAUUCGAUUGCUUCAUUCGCUGGCGUAUAAGAAGCCAUCAGUUUCUGUGGAAGACCAAUUUUGUGUUUUCGCGGGAAAAGAAUGUCUGGGACGGAAGGAAAGUCUAUAUCAUGUCUUGCAGCUGUAGCUUGGGAACCUAAGAAGCCACUUGUGAUAGAAACUGUUGAGGUGGCACCUCCUAAGGCUAGAGAGGUGCGCAUUAAAAUCCUUGCAACUGGGGUCUGUCAUACAGACAGUUACACACUGGGUGGACAUGACUCAGAGGGUGUCUUUCCUUCUGUUCUUGGCCAUGAAGGAGGUGGUAUUGUUGAAAGUGUUGGUGAAGGAGUCACAAGAGUCAAGCCUGGUGAUCAUGUUAUUCCUCUUUACAUACCUCAGUGUGGUGAGUGCAAGUUUUGCCAAAGUCCAAAGACAAAUCUUUGCAGCACAAUUCGAACAACUCAGGGUAAAGGUGUAAUGCCUGAUGGUACAUCACGAUUUUCAUGCAAAGGCCAGACCUUGUAUCACUUUAUGGGUACUAGCACAUUUAGUGAGUACACAGUUGUGGCUGAAAUAUCAGUAGCAAAGGUUGCUGACAAUGCUCCCCUUGAGAAAGUGUGUCUCCUUGGGUGUGGAAUUUCAACUGGAUAUGGUGCAGCUUUAAACACUGCAAAGGUGGAGCCUGGAUCUACUACAGCUAUUUGGGGACUGGGAGCUGUUGGUCUGGCUGUGGCAAUGGGCUGUAAAGCAGCAGGAGCUUCAAGGAUAAUUGGAAUUGAUUUAAAUCCCAAAAAAUUUACUACAGCCAAAGAGUUUGGCUGUACCGAGUUUGUCAAUCCCAAGGAUCACAACAAGCCUAUUCAACAGGUUUUGAUAGAGAUGACAGAUGGAGGCCUGGACUACACCUUUGAAUGUGUUGGGAAUGUUGGAACUAUGGCUGGAAGAGCUGUGACAGUGUUCCAAAACUUGUGGAUGAAUAUAUGGCUCGCAAGUUAAAGGUGGAUGAGUUUAUCACCCAUACGCUACCAUUGGACAAGAUCAACGAGGCGUUUGACCUUAUGCAUGAUGGGAAAAGCAUUCGAGCAAUCGUUAACUUUUGAGUAUGGCGUCUUUUCCAAGAACACUUCUGCAGGGAGAAGUCAUGACUGAUUUGAUAAACAAUAAACUGAGAUUUUCCCUCCGUCAAUGCCUACUUUAUAUUUCAGUGCCUAAACUUAUAUAUAAACCAACGUGUGUAGAAUUUCAACA